CAUUAAGAAGCUAUGCACCAGCGCUAGCCUUUUAAGCUAGAGAAAGGAGGAUUCCCUUCCCCCUUAAUGA
rnacentral:tRNA from 1 species